CCAAACUUUCAGCCAUAGGCAUUGUACCAUUUUGCAUUCACGUUGUCAGUAUAUGACAGUCCCUAUUUUCCCACAGCCAUGCUGAUAGAGCCUGUUGCCACACUGUUGGAUUUCUGCCCAUCGAAUAGACUCCUUUAUAUUGAAGAGGGAGGCAGAAGAGGAGGUCAGAUUCAAGAAAGAAUUGAAGAUGCUACUGUCUUUGAGGAUGAAGGAAGAGACCAUGAACCGUAAAGUGCAGAAGGCCUGUAGAAACUGUGAAAAGCAAGAAAAUGGAUUCUCUCUUGGAACUUCUAGAAAAUAUAUAGCCC
rnacentral:lncRNA from 13 species